rnacentral:rRNA from 1 species
CUGCGAGGAUAUUAUUGUAAAACCGAGGCACGAGGGCUGUUGCUGAUUUUGUUGUGCACGCCCAGUGCUCUCAAACAUCCAUCUCACCCUAUGUGCACCACCGCGUGGGCUCUUUUGGGAGGGGGCUUGCGUUUUCACACAAACUUAGCGCAAAGUGUCUUUUUUACGAUGACACGCAUUAAUACUUUUUUCAACAACUGACUUGUUGCCUCCCUCAACGAUGAACAACGCAACGAGCUGCAAUACGUGUGGUGAGUUGAAUACUUCGAAGCAUCAUCUCAUCUUUGAACGCUUGUUGCCCCCGUUGUUCUUACGAGGGGCACACCCUUAUGAGUGUGUAUUUCUCACAUUCUUUUUUUUGAAAGGAUUAGUACUAGGACGCUUUUGCUGUCUUUCCUUGAAACGACCUCCUCCUAGAAGGAUUAGGGGCGGCUGCUUCGACCAUUCUUGUCAUGAUAAGUGCUACUACUUGGUUUUGGUGCUGCGCUGCUUCUAACCGUCUCGAUGAUGAUGAUGGUUCCGCUGACCCACCUUGACCUCAAUCGGGUGAGACUACCCGCUGAUAAGCAUAUCA